AGGCGCUGUAUUUUCAAUUGCGAACCUUAAAUUAAUAGUACAGAUAUUCCGAGGAAGAAUUUAGCUAUCCUUACGCAAAUUAUGGCUAACUUCACCAAACUCGACGUGACGGGACCACGGGACAACGGGACAGGAAGAUGAAAAACAAAUUCACGGAACGAGCGGUACAACGAACAACGUCUACCAUGCUGCAGGAGAUGAGAAGGAGAAGAUGAAGAAGAAGGAGGAGAUGAGAUGAGAGAUUGUCCUGAGGCAGUCGUGCGAUCAGCUAGUCGUGUAGGGAGGCCAAGAAUAGACGAGCGUUAAUACAAGGAUAGCAUUCUCAGGCCCAAACACAUUUUGAGGACAUCUUCCUCGAUGGUACGUCGUGAUGGCUUCUUGGUGCACGCGGUACUGGAAGGGCUGUCUAGCGGUGAGGUCGCUCGCCACAAAGAAUACAUUCAGGGAACUUGGAAGAAGCAAUAAAAUACCUGUAAUUU